rnacentral:lncRNA from 1 species
AUAAGCAAAUAGGUAUUAUUGAAGAGCUAUGCUGUCAAGUGUCUAUCAACAAGAGUUCCACCCAGAUAUGAAUACCACCACAACACAACAUAUUGAUUGCAAGUGAAAGCAAUGUUAUGUCCACAUCACACAAGUAACAAAGCAAGGUUAUUUUCACGUCACAACAUAUGGAUUGCAAGUCAAGAUUUCCACCCAAAUGCAUACAAUGAGUACUACCCAUAUAACUUUAAGUCACCCUUUAAGAAUUUCAUUUUGUAAGAUCGAAAUUACAACUAUAUAUAAACGACGCUGUCCUUGAAAUUGUCAAUUUCUUAAUAUGAUUUUUGUCAAUAUUCGUGCAUAUUUAUUCCUUUGUUUUCAAAUGAAAUGAGUAAAUUCUACACUAACCAAGUUAAGAAACACAAGUUGAG